GAUGAACGCUGGCGGCGUGCCUAAUACAUGCAAGUCGAGCGAACAGAUGAGGAGCUUGCUCCUCUGACGUUAGCGGCGGACGGGUGAGUAACACGUGUAUAACCUACCUAUAAUACUGGGAUAACUUCGGGAAACCGGCUCUAAUACCGGAUAAUAUAUUGAACCGCAUGGGUCAAUAGUGAAAGACGGUUUUGCGGUCACUUCUAGAUGGAUCCGCGCCUCAUGAGCUAGUUGGUAAGGUAACGGCUUACAAAGGAAACGAUGCCUAGCCGAGCUGAGAGGGGGAUCGGCGCCUGAGGAGCUGAGACACGGCCCAGACACCUACGGGAGGCAGCAGCAGGGAAUCUUGCGAACUGGGCGAAAGCCUGACGGAGCAACGCCGCGUGAGUGAAGAAGGUCUGCGUAUCGUAAAACUCUCUUCUGAGUGAAGAACAAAUGUGUAAGUAACUAUGCGUGUCUGGACGGUAUCGAAACAGAAAGCCACGCUAACUUAGGU
rnacentral:rRNA from 1 species